CCUACGGUUGGCAGCAGUGAGGAAUAUUGGUCAAUGGGCUUACGCCUGAACCAGCCAAGUCGCGUGAGGGAAGACUGCCCUAUGGGUUGUAAACCUCUUUUGUCAGGGAGUAACGCCGGCUACGUGUAGCCGGACUGAGGGUACAUGAAGAAAAAGCAUGGGCUAACUCCGUGCCAGCAGCGGCGGUAAGAGGGAGGAUGGGAGCGUUAUCCGGUGUUAUUGGGUUUAAAGGGUGCGUAGGCGGAAUGCCAAGUCAGCGGUAAAGUCGGGGGGCUCAACCUCGAUCCGCCGUUGAAACUGGCGUUCUUGAGUGGGCGAGAGGUGUGCGGAAUGCGUGGUGUAGCGGUGAAAUGCAUAGAUAUCACGCAGAACUCCGAUUGCGAAGGCAGCAUACCGGCGCCCAACUGACGCUGAAGCACGAAAGCGUGGGUAUCGAACAGGAUUAGAUACCCUUGUAGUC
rnacentral:rRNA from 1 species